GCGCCCAUGGUGUAGUGGUAACAUAACAGCCUUCCAAGCUGUGGUCGCCGGUUCGAACCCGGCUGGGCGCUCCG
rnacentral:tRNA from 1 species